AUUGAACGCUGGCGGCAUGCCUUACACAUGCAAGUCGAACGGCAGCACGGGAGCUUGCUCCUGGUGGCGAGUGGCGAACGGGUGAGUAAUAUAUCGGAACGUACCCUAGAGUGGGGGAUAACGUAGCGAAAGUUACGCUAAUACCGCAUACGAGCUAUGGAUGAAAGUGGGGGAUCGCAAGACCUCAUGCUCAUGGAGUGGCCGAUAUCUGAUUAGCUAGUUGGUGGGGUAAAAGCCUACCAAGGCGACGAUCAGUAGCUGGUCUGAGAGGACGACCAGCCACACUGGAACUGAGACACGGUCCAGACUCCUACGGGAGGCAGCAGUUGGGAAUUUUGGACAAUGGGGGCAACCCUGAUCCAGCAAUGCCGCGUGAGUGAAGAAGGCCUUCGGGUUGUAAAGCUCUUUUGUCAGGGAAGAAACGGUUCAGGCUAAUAUCCUGGGCUAAUGACGGUACCUGAAGAAUAAUCACCGGCUAACUACGUGCCAGCAGCCGCAGUAA
rnacentral:rRNA from 1 species